rnacentral:rRNA from 1 species
CAGCAGCCGCGGGAAUACGAAGGGGGCUAGCGUUGCUCGGAAUGACUGGGCGUAAAGGGCGCGUAGGCGGUUCGGACAGUCAGAUGUGAAAUUCCUGGGCUCAACCUGGGGACUGCAUUUGAUACGUAUGGACUUGAGUGGAGAAGAGGGUCGUGGAAUUUCCAGUGUAGAGGUGAAAUUCGUAGAUAUUGGAAAGAACACCGGUGGCGAAGGCGGCGACCUGGUCUUUAACUGACGCUGAGGCGCGAAAGCGUGGGGAGCAAACAGGAUUAGAUACCCGUGUAGUCCCUGUCUCUUAUAC